rnacentral:rRNA from 1 species
AUUGAACGCUGGCGGCAUGCCUUACACAUGCAAGUCGAACGGCAGCACGGGGGCAACCCUGGUGGCGAGUGGCGAACGGGUGAGUAAUGCAUCGGAACGUGCCCAGUAGUGGGGGAUAACCAGUCGAAAGACUGGCUAAUACCGGCAUACGACCUAAGGGUGAAAGCGGGGGACCGUAAGGCCUCGCGCUAUUGGAGCGGCCGAUGUCUGAUUAGCUAGUUGGCGGGUAAAGCCCACAAGGCGACGAUCGGUAGCCGAACUGAGAGGUUGAUCGGCCACAUUGGGACUGAGACACGGCCCAGACUCCUACGGGUGGCAG